GUAUUCAUUUUAUAUAAUUUACUGAUUUUUAUCAGUUUUUUAUAUAAAGAUUUGAAGUUUCCAUUAUUUAUUUAAUGGUACUUUUAAAACUAUAGCUUUUUAUAAUAUAGUAACGUUUGAGUUUUUAUUAUAACGAGUUGAAAAGUAUUCGAAUGAAACCUAGUUUCUUACUUAUGCCUAUUAAAUUUGUACUGAUAUUAACGAGUUAUUAUAAUAUUAAAAAGUUCAUAAACCAUAUAAAAUUAUUUAUAAUUUUGAA
rnacentral:misc_RNA from 1 species